rnacentral:rRNA from 1 species
AUUGAACGCUGGCGGCAGGCUUAACACAUGCAAGUCGAGCGGGGUGAUGGUGCUUGCACUAUCACUUAGCGGCGGACGGGUGAGUAAUGCUCAGGAAUCUGCCUAUUAGUGGGGGACAACAUCUCGAAAGGGAUGCUAAUACCGCAUACGUCCUACGGGAGAAAGCAGGGGAUCACUUGUGACCUUGCGCUAAAAGAUGAGCCUAAGUCGGAUUAGCUAGUUGGUGGGGUAAAGGCCUACCAAGGCGACGAUCUGUAGCGGGUCUGAGAGGAUGAUCCGCCACACUGGGACUGAGACACGGCCCAGACUCCUACGGGAGGCAGCAGAGGGGAAUAUUGGACAAUGGGGGGAACCCUGAUCCAGCCAUGCCGCGUGUGUGAAGAAGGCCUUAUGGUUGUAAAGCACUUUAAGCGAGGAGGAGGCUCUUUUGGUUAAUACCCAAGAUGAGUGGACGUUACUCGCAGAAUAAGCACCGGCUAACUCUGUGCCAGCCGCCGCAGUAA